UUUAUGGAGAGUUUGAUCCUGGCUCAGGAUGAACGCUGGCGGCGUGCCUAAUACAUGCAAGUCGAGCGAACGGACGAGAAGCUUGCUUCUCUGAUGUUAGCGGCGGACGGGUGAGUAACACGUGGAUAACCUACCUAUAAGACUGGGAUAACUUCGGGAAACCGGAGCUAAUACCGGAUAAUAUUUUGAACCGCAUGGUUCAAAAGUAAAAGACGGUCUUGCUGUCACUUAUAGAUGGAUCCGCGCUGCAUUAGCUAGUUGGUAAGGUAACGGCUUACCAAGGCAACGAUGCAUAGCCGACCUGAGAGGGUGAUCGGCCACACUGGAACUGAGACACGGUCCAGACUCCUACGGGAGGCAGCAGUAGGGAAUCUUCCGCAAUGGGCGAAAGCCUGACGGAGCAACGCCGCGUGAGUGAUGAAGGUCUUCGGAUCGUAAAACUCUGUUAUUAGGGAAGAACAUAUGUGUAAGUAACUGUGCACAUCUUGACGGUACCUAAUCAGAAAGCCACGGCUAACUACGUGCCAGCAGCCGCGGUAAUACGUAGGUGGCAAGCGUUAUCCGGAAUUAUUGGGCGUAAAGCGCGCGUAGGCGGUUUUUUAAGUCUGAUGUGAAAGCCCACGGCUCAACCGUGGAGGGUCAUUGGAAACUGGAAAACUUGAGUGCAGAAGAGGAAAGUGGAAUUCCAUGUGUAGCGGUGAAAUGCGCAGAGAUAUGGAGGAACACCAGUGGCGAAGGCGACUUUCUGGUCUGUAACUGACGCUGAUGUGCGAAAGCGUGGGGAUCAAACAGGAUUAGAUACCCUGGUAGUCCACGCCGUAAACGAUGAGUGCUAAGUGUUAGGGGGUUUCCGCCCCUUAGUGCUGCAGCUAACGCAUUAAGCACUCCGCCUGGGGAGUACGACCGCAAGGUUGAAACUCAAAGGAAUUGACGGGGACCCGCACAAGCGGUGGAGCAUGUGGUUUAAUUCGAAGCAACGCGAAGAACCUUACCAAAUCUUGACAUCCUUUGACAACUCUAGAGAUAGAGCCUUCCCUUCGGGGACAAAGUGACAGGUGGUGCAUGGUUGUCGUCAGCUCGUGUCGUGAGAUGUUGGGUUAAGUCCCGCAACGAGCGCAACCCUUAAGCUUAGUUGCCAUCAUUAAGUUGGGCACUCUAAGUUGACUGCCGGUGACAAACCGGAGGAAGGUGGGGAUGACGUCAAAUCAUCAUGCCCUUAUGAUUUGGGCUACACACGUGCUACAAUGGACAAUACAAAGGGCAGCGAAACCGCGAGGUCAAGCAAAUCCCAUAAAGUUGUUCUCAGUUCGGAUUGUAGUCUGCAACUCGACUACAUGAAGCUGGAAUCGCUAGUAAUCGUAGAUCAGCAUGCUACGGUGAAUACGUUCCCGGGUCUUGUACACACCGCCCGUCACACCACGAGAGUUUGUAACACCCGAAGCCGGUGGAGUAACCUUUUAGGAGCUAGCCGUCGAAGGUGGGACAAAUGAUUGGGGUGAAGUCGUAACAAGGUAGCCGUAUCGGAAGGUGCGGCUGGAUCACCUCCUUUCU
rnacentral:rRNA from 1 species